GAUGAACGCUGGCGGCGUGCCUAACACAUGCAAGUCGAACGGAGUCCAGCCUGUAAGACCUUCGGGUCAAAGAGGGGAAGACUGAGUGGCGGACGGGUGAGUAACACGUGGGCCACCUGGCUCAUUGAGGGGGAUAACAGAGAGAAAUUUCUGCUAAUACCGCACAAGCACACACUGCCGCAUGGCAGAGGGUGAAAAGAGAAUCGCUAUGAGAUGGACCCGCGUCUGAUUAGCCAGUUGGCAGGGUAAGGGCCUACCAAAGCGACGAUCAGUAGCCGAUCUGGGAGGAUGAACGGCCACAGUGGGAGUGAGACACGGCCCAAACUCCGGCGGGAGGCAGGAGUAGGAGAGAUUGCACAGUGGGGGGAACCCUGAUGCAGCGACGCCGCGGGAGUGAAGAAGUAUUUCGGUAUGUAAAGCUCUAUCAGCAGGGAAGAUAAGGACAGUACCUGAAUGAGGAGCCCCGGCUAACUACGUG
rnacentral:rRNA from 1 species